rnacentral:lncRNA from 10 species
UAGGACUCACAAAAGUGUGGGGCUUCUCUGUGAUUGGGUCCUCCUGGAGUUUUUAACUCUGAGGCUUGUCUACACCAAGCCUCCAGCAUUUCAUCGGUUACACUUUAGGUUUUCCUACCCCAGCACUGCUUCCUACAGAGGCUCUGUCUCAGUUUUCCAGCUGGGACAUAGUUUUUCUUCUGUCUUUCCACAUGGAUUCGAACUAACACCAUCAGCUCGCCUGCUUCUCAGACCUUCAGACUCAGAUGGAACUACACUAUAGGUUCUCCUGGGUCUGGACUUCUCAGCCUCCAUAAUCAUAGGUUUUCCUCAAAUGUGUGAUGACCUUAGCUGACCAUUUUUUUUUUAAAGAACUUCUAACAUUUUUCAUUAAGGAAUGUGGGAUUUGAGACCCAAAGAAGUGAAGUAACCUGCCCAAGUUUACACAGCUUGGAGUAGAACCCGAGUUUCUAUGGACUCCAGAGCUCAUGAGUUCACCACUUUUCUGUGCCUCCUAACUCUAUGCCGCUGAGGACUCAGAAGAAGCCAGUGCUAAUGCUUUCUCCAGUUUCUCUCCUCUUGUGUGAACUGUGUGAACUGCCACUUUAAGACUCUCUUGGAGAAUCAUAAUCCAAGUUGCGAAGUCCAACAAUUCCUCUGGAGAAAUGGUUCUCAACUGGGGGCAAAUUUGGGCCCCAGGAGACAUAUGGCAAUGUCUGACAAUGUUUUUUUGAUUGUUACAAACAGGUUGGGGAGAGAGUCCUGCUAGCAUCUAGUUGGUAGAGGCCAGGGAUAAUGCUGAACAGCCUGCAGGACACCCCGAACCCCAUCAAAGACCCAAAACGUCAAUGGUACUGAGGUUGAAAAACCCUGGUCUGGAGUUUUAAUCAGUUGGCCAUUUUUCCCAUCCCAUGUUGAAAUAUUUGUAUUUAAAACAUUACAUCUGGUUUAUUUUUUCAAGAUAAUGUCCAGUGUACAGUGGAAAAUGAUGUGUUUUCCUAUCACUUUGCUCAAGAAUAAAGCUGUAAUAUUUGCAAAAUAGAUAACCUUAGUUGUCACUCAAAAUGUAAACUGUCAUAAGGGAUAAGAGAUUAACUGAUUUCACUGUCAACCUUUACAGUGUCAUUAUUUUUCCCUGUAACUGUCUGCUUGAUAUCCUUGCUGACGAAGAUGUUUUAAAAUGGAAGACAAUUAGAGGCUUUAUGUUUAUGAAAAAUGAAGUGUUCACACACAAAAGAAUGCACAGUGGACCUUUUAUGGGAUGUUUAAAAUAUCCUUUCAUUAAAAGAUUUUCUUAAGUGGCUGUUUGUCACUUAAUAGGAAUCCCCGUUGUUGCUACUGUUGUUUUCAUGCAUAAAUACCAGCAUCUGUAGGUUUCCGGGGUGUUCUUUAGAAUUU